rnacentral:rRNA from 1 species
GAGUUUGAUUCUGGCUCAGGAUGAACGCUGGCGGCGUGCUUAACACAUGCAAGUCGAACGAUCCAGCACUCAACUACCAACUACAUUUUCAAGAAGAAACGAAAGUGUGGUUAGUAGUUGAGUGCUGGAGAGUGGCGGACGGGUGCGUAACGUGUGGGUAAUCUGCCUUUGUCAUGGGAAUAACUGCUUGAAAGAGCAGCUAAUACCGAAUAACAUAUGCAAUAGGCAUCUAUUGGAUAUCAAAGAGAAAUCGGACAAAGAUGAGCCCGCAUCUGAUUAGCUAGUUGGUAGGGUAACAGCCUACCAAGGCAACGAUCAGUAGCCGACCUGAGAGGGUGAACGGCCACAUUGGAACUGAGACACGGUCCAAACUCCUACGGGAGGCAGCAGUGGGGAAUAUUGCACAAUGGGGGGAACCCUGAUGCAGCAACGCCGCGUGAGUGAAGAAGGCUUUCGAGUCGUAAAACUCUGUUGUAAGGGAAGAUAAUGACAGACCUAAAGAGCC